CGUGUAGGCGGCCGGAUAUGUCAGAUGUGAAAGCCCCGGGCUUAACCCGGGAAGUGCAUUUGAAACUGUCCGGCUCGAGUAGGGGAGAGGGAAGUGGAAUUCCUGGUGUAGAGGUGAAAUUCGUAGAUAUCAGGAGGAACACCGGUGGCGAAGGCGACUUCCUGGCCCUAUACUGACGCUGAGACGCGAGAGCGUGGGUAGCAAACAG
rnacentral:rRNA from 1 species